CGGGAGGUAGCUCAGGGGCAAGAGCGUCUGCUCAGGCAGAAGGUCGAAGGUUCGAAUCCUCCCCUCCCGG
rnacentral:tRNA from 1 species